GACGAACGCUGGCGGCGUGCUUAACACAUGCAAGUCGAACGGAAAGGCCCUGCUUUUGUGGGGUGCUCGAGUGGCGAACGGGUGAGUAACACGUGAGUAACCUGCCCUUGACUUUGGGAUAACUUCAGGAAACUGGGGCUAAUACCGGAUAGGAGCUCCUGCUGCAUGGUGGGGGUUGGAAAGUUUCGGCGGUUGGGGAUGGACUCGCGGCUUAUCAGCUUGUUGGUGGGGUAGUGGCUUACCAAGGCUUUGACGGGUAGCCGGCCUGAGAGGGUGACCGGCCACAUUGGGACUGAGAUACGGCCGAGAGUCCUACGGGAGGCAGCAGUGGGGAAUAUUGCACAAUGGGCGGAAGCCUGAUGCAGCAACGCCGAGUGCGGGAUGACGGCCUUCGGGUUGUAAACCGCUUUCGCCUGUGACGAAGCGUGAGUGACGGUAAUGGGUAAAGAAGCACCGGCUAACUACGUG
rnacentral:rRNA from 1 species